rnacentral:lncRNA from 1 species
AUAGUUCCUCUCUUUCAUUUAUCUCUUUUGUGUUUUUUUUUCUUUUCUCGUAAUAAAUAAAUGAGAUAGGAGCACCACCCAUGUAAAUGUCAAGACUGAUGGAUCUAUUGAUGAUCAAACAUAGCCCUUUGGGGAACUUGUUUGAUACAGUCUUACACUGAAUUGAACAAUAGCGAAUAAUUAAUUUCCCAAAAGGAGCAAGCCCAGCUGGGAAAGGGAGCAACUUUCAUAAACAGGACACUCAGAAAUGAAUUUUUAGGCCUCUAAGGAGGAAGAACAGGACUCCUAGAACAGGAAAUACUCUUUAAACAAAUGUUUUCCCUAUAUAGGUAUCUCAGAACAUUAGUGCUUUAAGAAGAUUGUAAUCACUAUAGAAUACUACUGGAUAUUUUGGGGGGAAAUGCUUUCUAUUAUCGUGCCUUUUCAGUAGAUAAAGCUUUGUAAAAGCUAUCAACUGGAAAUCUGGACAUUGUCAAAGAGUAAUAACACUGUGCAUAUCCUUUGCCUCAACAAUACCACUACUAGCUCUAUGUCCCAAAGAUAUCUUUUUUUUGGAAAAAAAAAUAUUUAUUAGUAGCUAUUUUUGUAUUGUCAAAGAACUGGAAAACUGAAGAGCUAUCUAUUAAUUGGGAAAUGGCUGAACAAUUUGUGGUAUAUGAUUAUGAUGGAAUACUAUGAUUCCAUAAGAAAUGACAAGUUGACCACAAAAAAACAACAACCUUAAAAGACUUAUCUGAAGUAAAAGUGAAGUAAGCAGAACCAGGGAAUAUUGCACAUGGUACCAGCAAGAAUGUUCAAUGAUCAACUGUCAAUGAAUUUACUAUUACCAGAAUGCAAAACUCCAAGACAUCUACAAGGGACUCAUGAUAAAAAAAGGCUACCCAACACUAAAGAAGGAAAUCAAAUGGAGUCUGAAUGUAGAUUGAAGCAUACCAUCCUUCAUUUUAUUCCAUCCAUGGCUUUUUCUCUAAUAUGCAGAAAGUGAGGCGCAUAGUGGAAUAAUACCUUGCUUAAGACCAAACAGGUAACCAGAGAAAGAGAUAACAUUCAAUCUUAGUUUUCCUGACUCCAAAUCCAAUGGCUAAAGGAAAAGAAAAAUGAAAACUUCCCAGGUUGAAUAGCUUCUGAUGAUUCAGUUUUGCUAUUUGACUAGGAUGGUCCUCAGUGGCUAGGCCCAUAGCUGAAAUUUUUCUAGCUUCAGAGGAUUUAUCAUAUAUUUUACUCUAUUGGCAUUGACUUGGAGGAACACUGGUUACUGCCAUUCUUCAAUCUUUCUGGUAGACUUUGAAAUACUUCCUAAUACUAACCUUUUUUUCUGGUCAGUGUUUGAGAAUUUGUAUGACAGGCCUGCAUUAUCUGAUUUUGGAUCAUUGGUUCCAUUAAGUCAUUUAAGGCACUGUCCUUAAAACUUUCUUUAUUGCAUUAAAAGAUUUCAGCAGUCAAUCUGGAAAAUCUGAUGGUGAUUUCCUGGGAAAAUAUCUCCAUUUUACAAAUAGAGGGGGAAAAAAUAAAAUGGUUCCUUCCCAUUAUUUCUUCCA